rnacentral:rRNA from 1 species
AGAAUCAACGCUGGCGGCGUGCCUAACACAUGCAAGUCGCACGAGAAAGCGGAGCAAUCCGUGAGUAAAGUGGCGCACGGGUGAGUAACACGUGAAUAAUCUACCUCCGAGUGGGGAAUAACUGAGAGAAAUCUUAGCUAAUACCGCAUAACACUUACGAGUCAAAGCAGCAAUGCGCUUGGAGAGGAGUUCGCGGCCGAUUAGUUAGUUGGCGGGGUAAUGGCCCACCAAGACGAUGAUCGGUAUCCGGCCUGAGAGGGCGCACGGACACACUGGAACUGAAACACGGUCCAGACUCCUACGGGAGGCAGCAGUGGGGAAUUUUGCGCAAUGGGGGAAACCCUGACGCAGCAACGCCGCGUGGAGGAUGAAAUAUCUUGGUAUGUAAACUCCUUUCGAUGGGGAAGAUAAUGACGGUACCCAUAGAAGAAGCCCGGCUAACUUCGCGCCAGCAGCCGC